rnacentral:rRNA from 1 species
AGUCGAACGAAGCACUUCAAUCGAUUUCUUCGGAAUGAAGUUUUAGUGACUGAGUGGCGGACGGGUGAGUAACGCGUGGGUAACCUGCCUCACACAGGGGGAUAACAGUUGGAAACGGCUGCUAAUACCGCAUAAGCGCACAGUACCGCAUGGUACGGUGUGAAAAACUCCGGUGGUGUGAGAUGGACCCGCGUCUGAUUAGCUAGUUGGCAGGGCAGCGGCCUACCAAGGCGACGAUCAGUAGCCGACCUGAGAGGGUGACCGGCCACAUUGGGACUGAGACACGGCCCAAACUCCUACGGGAGGCAGCAGUGGGGAAUAUUGCACAAUGGGGGAAACCCUGAUGCAGCGACGCCGCGUGAGCGAAGAAGUAUUUCGGUAUGUAAAGCUCUAUCAGCAGGGAAGAAGAAAUGACGGUACCUGACUAAGAAGCACCGGCUAAAUACGUGCCAGCAGCCGCGGUAAUACGUAUGGUGCAAGCGUUAUCCGGAUUUACUGGGUGUAAAGGGAGCGCAGGCGGAAGGCUAAGUCUGAUGUGAAAGCCCGGGGCUCAACCCCGGUACUGCAUUGGAAACUGGUCAUCUAGAGUGUCGGAGGGGUAAGUGGAAUUCCUAGUGUAGCGGUGAAAUGCGUAGAUAUUAGGAGGAACACCAGUGGCGAAGGCGGCUUACUGGACGAUAACUGA